rnacentral:rRNA from 1 species
UACGGGGGGGGCAAGCGUUGUUCGGAAUUACUGGGCGUAAAGGGCUCGUAGGCUGCCAACUAAGUCGGACGUGAAAUCCCUCGGCUUAACCGGGGAACUGCGUCCGAUACUGGAUGGCUUGAGUUUGGGAGAGGGAUGCGGAAUUCCAGGUGUAGCGGUGAAAUGCGUAGAUAUCUGGAGGAACACCGGUGGCGAAGGCGGCGUUCUGGACUGCAACUGACACUGAGAAACGAAAGCCAGGGUAGCAAACGGG